rnacentral:rRNA from 1 species
GUGAGGAAUAUUGGUCAAUGGACGGAAGUCUGAACCAGCCAUGCCGCGUGAAGGAUGAAGGCGUUCUGCGUUGUAAACUUCUUUUAUUAGGGAAGAAACCACUUUUUUCUAAGAGUGUUGACGGUACCUGAUGAAUAAGCACCGGCUAACUCCGUGCCAGCAGCCGCGGUAAUACGGAGGGUGCAAGCGUUAUCCGGAUUUACUGGGUUUAAAGGGUGCGUAGGCGGAUUAUUAAGUCAGUGGUGAAAUCCCGGGGCUCAACCUCGGAACUGCCAUUGAUACUAUUAGUCUUGAAUUAUGUUGAGGUUGGCGGAAUAUAACAUGUAGCGGUGAAAUGCUUAGAUAUGUUAUGGAACACCGAUUGCGAAGGCAGCUGGCUAAACAUAUAUUGACGCUGAUGCACGAAAGCGUGGGUAGCGAACAGGAUUAGAAACCCGAGUAGUCC